rnacentral:rRNA from 1 species
GCUACGGGUGGCAGCAGUGAGGAAUAUUGGUCAAUGGCCGAGAGGCUGAACCAGCCAAGUCGCGUGAGGGAUGACGGCCCUACGGGUUGUAAACCUCUUUUGUCGGGGAGCAAAGAGAGUCACGUGUGGCUCAUUGAGAGUACCCGAAGAAAAAGCAUCGGCUAACUCCGUGCCAGCAGCCGCGGUAAUACGGAGGAUGCGAGCGUUAUCCGGAUUUAUUGGGUUUAAAGGGUGCGCAGGCGGAGGUGCAAGUCAGUGGUCAAAUUGCGGGGCUCAACCCCGUACUGCCGUUGAAACUGCAUCCCUUGAGUGCGCGAGAAGUAUGCGGAAUGCGCAGUGUAGCGGUGAAAUGCUUAGAUAUUGCGCAGAACUCCGAUUGCGAAGGCAGCAUACCGGCGGCGAUCUGACGCUGAGGCACGAAAGCGUGGGUAUCGAACAGGAUUAGAUACCCUAGUAGUC